rnacentral:rRNA from 1 species
CCUAUCAGCUUGUUGGUGAGGUAAUGGCUCACCAAAGCGUCGACGGGUAGCCGGCCUGAGAGGGUGACCGGCCACACUGGGACUGAGACACGGCCCAGACUCCUACGGGAGGCAGCAGUGGGGAAUAUUGCACAAUGGGCGCAAGCCUGAUGCAGCAACGCCGCGUGAGGGAUGACGGCCUUCGGGUUGUAAACCUCUUUUAGCAGGGAAGAAGCGAAAGUGACGGUACCUGCAGAAAAAGCGCCGGCUAACUACGUGCCAGCAGCCGCGGUAAUACGUAGGGCGCAAGCGUUAUCCGGAAUUAUUGGGCGUAAAGAGCUCGUAGGCGGUUUGUCGCGUCUGCUGUGAAAUCCCGAGGCUCAACCUCGGGUCUGCAGUGGGUACGGGCAGACUAGAGUGCGGUAGGGGAGAUUGGUAUUCCUGGUGUAGCGGUGGAAUGCGCAGAUAUCAGGAGGAACACCGAUGGCGAAGGCAGAUCUCUGGGCCGUAGCUGACGCUGAGGAGCGAAAGGGUGGGGAGCAAACAGGCUUAGAUACCCUGGUAGUCCACCCCGUAAACGUUGGGAACUAGUUGUGGGGUCCAUUCCACGGAUUCCGUGACGCAGCUAACGCAUUAAGUUCCCCGCCUGGGGAGUACGGCCGCAAGGCUAA